CUAAAGAAGAAUACUUAGCUGAAAAAUUAAAUUACUGUAUUCAGAACCCGUAAAAGAUGCCACGAUAAGAUUUCCAGUAAUACACAGGCAUGGAAAUAGUUGUGGGGAAUAGUGUGGUAAAUUGUGGACUAUUAUUUCAAAGGUGCUUAUAAUCUCAUUGCAGUCUUUCCCCUGUCACUUUGGUUGAGGAUGUGUUUACAGAUUUAUUUCCCAAAAGAUCAGUGAGUUGCAGACUACUUUUAGAUCAAAAUUCAUUUCCCUGACCUGAUUUCAGAUCUCACGAAUGCCUGCCACUGGGCAUCAAAAUUACAAAUGAAGCUUCAAGACUGGAAAAACAAAUCAGAUCUAUGUCAUGCUCGAGUGCCAAUGUCUUCAAGAGUUCUACCUGGAAUCAGCCUGCUGCAGACAGACAGGUCUGUGCCUGCCCUACUGAGGUCCUGAGUAGCGCGGAACAUGCCGAAUCAGCCUCAGCUCCAGCAACAAUCCACUGGACCCCCCACCACCACCACCACCACUCCUCUGUACAGCCACCUGGUUCCACACUGCAAAGACGCAGAGGACACUGGACCACCA
rnacentral:lncRNA from 1 species